rnacentral:lncRNA from 1 species
CCUUCACCUGUUCUUUCUCAAGAUGGCUAUACCUAUUAUAUCAAUUUUGUUGAUGAUUUUAGUAUAUACACAUGGAUCUAUCAUCUAAAGCUAAAAUCAGAAGCCUUAAGUGUCUUCAAAUUGUUCAAAUUGUAGGUUGAAAAACAAUUUCAAACUACCAUUAAAAUGUUGCAAUUUGACUGGGGAGGAGAAUACAUACCAUAUACUGAUUUCUUAAGUCAAAAUGAGAUCAUCUUUAGGCACUCUUAUCCUUAUACACACCAUCAAAAUGGAUUAGUUGAAAGGAAGCACAAACAUAUUGUUGAAUUAAGACUUACAUUGCUAGCUCAAGCUGAACUACCAUUUACAUUUUGGUGGGAUGUUGUUCACACAGUAGUUUAUCAUAUUAACAGACUGCCAUCUAUAGUCUUAAGCUUUUUUACACCUUAUGAGAGAUUGUUUAAUUAUAAACUUGACUAUAAUAUGCUUAAAUGUUUUGGUUGUGCAUGUUACCCUUACUUGAGAGGUUAUAACAAGCAUAGAUUUGAUUAUCACUCAAAUAAGUGCAUUUUCAUUGAAUAUGGUCUAUCUUACAAAGGAUAUAAGUGUCUACAUUCCUCAGAAAGAGUCUAUAUAGUUAGUCAUGUUAUUUUUUUAUAAAUUUUCAUUUCCUUAUUCCUCAGAUUCUGUUUUUAAUUCUAAAGAAUUUGAUCCUUAUUCAGCUCAAUUAUUCACUUCUCAUCAAGUAUAUAAUUUGUAUGUAUCUUUACUCCCUUAUAAUAGCAGCUACAAUAAUUCUGAUUUGGUAAGCUCCACCAGUAGCAGUGCUAAUCACUCAGAUAAUCUUAAUCCAGCUAACAAUUCUCAUUCAUCCUCACAAAUAAACACCUCAUGUACUUAACCAACAAGUACUUCAAUACAGCAAACCAAUGCACCAUUCAUUAAACCAAACACUCUUUCAUCUUCACAACUACAACCAUAACCAUAUCAACAUGUUUCAUAUGCACCCUUUUAUACUCAAGAAAAUACACACCCUACGACUACCAGAAGCAAAGCUGGUAUAUUCAAGCCUAAAUUGUACUCUGCAACACUCAUUCACAAAUAACCAGAUUUUGGAUAUGAAGCAUUACAAGAUCCCAAAUGGUUUGAAGCCAUGAGGAAAGAGUAUAAUGCUUUAAUAAAAAAAAAUGGCAUAUGGUCAUUAGUUCCAAGAAUAGAUGAUCAUAAAGUGGUUGGUAACAAGUGGGUGUAUAGGGUGAAGUAUAAUACAGAUGGAAGCUUAUCCAAGUACAAAGCCAGGUUGGUAGCCAAGGGUUUUCAGCAGGUUGCAGGGGUAAACUACUUUGAAACAUUCAGUCUUGUAGUCAAACCAGCUACUGUUAGAGUUAUCUUAAACUUGGUUGUUAUUUAUCAGUGGAAGAAAAAGCAAAUUGAUGUGAAUAAUGUCCUUCUCAAUGGAGAUUUGAUGAAAGAUGUUUUUAUGGAUCAAUCAGCAGGUUUCAUUGAUGCUCAAAAACCAGACUAUGUGUGUAAACUUCAUAAAUCUCUUUAUGGACUCAAACAAGCUCCAAGAGCUUGAUAUGAAAAAUUGAAAGGAUGUAUGUUGCAGUGGGGUUUCAUGAACUCCAAAGAUGAUUCUUUUUUUUUUUUUUCAUAAAGAAAACCACCUCAAUCAUGAUUAUGGUGUUGAUAUAUGUUGAUGACAUUUGGUUACAGGACCAAAUAGCAUUGAGCUGGAUAGUUUUAUUACUAAGUUCAGCACAAUAUUUGCAUUAAAAGAUCUUGGCAUUCUUUCUUAUUUUCUGGGGAUAGAAGUAUUGUAUGAUACAAGUUGUGUUUAUUUGUCUCAAAGAAAAUACAUUAGGAACCUGUUAUCAAAAAUCAAAAUGCUUGAAUGCAAUGGCAUUGAUACACCUAUGAGUAUAGGGUCAAAUUGCAUAAAGAAGCUCAGGGAAGUCUUGGACAUUAUGUUGAAGAUCUAACCCACUACAGAAGUAUAGUUGGUGGAAUGCAGUACUUAAUAUUGACAAGACCAUAGAUUGCCUUUGCUGUGAAUAAAUUGAAUCAAUAUAUUUCAUCACCAACAUUGCAGCAUCUUAUGGCAUGUAAACGAGUUUUGAGAUACUUGAAAAGCACUCAAGAUUAUGGUCUUAAAUUUGUUCAAGAUGGAGAUAUGAAACUCACAGCAUUCAUUGAUAUAGACUGGGCUUGUGACUUGGAUGACAGAAAAUCUGUUGGUGUAUAUUGUGUCUACUUAGGCAACAAUUUAAUAUCUUGGUCAUCUAAGAAGCAAUCAGUUGUUAUCAGGUCAAGUGCAGAGAGUGAAUACAAAUCUUUAGCUUCAAUAAGUGCAUAACUUAGUUGGUUACAGUCACUGUUUUCUGAGAUAUGAUUGAGAUGCACAGAAACACCUACCAUUCGGUGUGAUAACAUUAGUGCUACAGAGUUAGCUCGAAAUCCUAUUUAUCAUUCAAGAAUAAAGGAUAUUGAACUUAAUAUGCAUUUGAUCAUAGAUAAGGUAAUUGCUGGUGAGUUUAAUAUUCAUUAUAUUCCAAGCAAUGAAUAAAUUGCUGACAUUAUGACAAAGUCUCUUUCAUUUGUUCACUUCAAUUAUUUAAGAGCCAAACUCAAUGUCCUUCAAUAUCCCUUGAGUUUGAGGGGGGCUGCUAAGUCUGUUGAUUGUGGAGAAUAUACAAAGGCUAAACAGAACAAGCUUAAGAAGCAAAACCACGUCAGCAUCAGUGAGUCAGCAAAGAUUGUUAAGGAAAUCAUAACUUCAACUGACAGCUCAGCAUAAGUUGUCGAAGUUUGUUAUUAGUCAUAUAAAAUGUGUAUAAAAAAAUAUAAUUAGUUUUAAGUAAUAAGUAAUAGAAAUUUGUUACAAAUCGUUACAUACAUGUGUGUAUUGAUUCAAUAAGUUAAGAAGAUUAUGGAAUUAAUAAAAUUAAUUUUUUUCUGUAAUUUUCUCUUCAGCCAAACACGUUUGUUCUCAAUUUUCACAGUCACGACGGUGUGUAUUUUACAAACAUUACUAUUUUAUUGAUAUAUUUACAAUUAAUGGCAUGGACCCUCCUUUUCAAGUGUGUCGGCGGAAGAAGGUGGACUGAUUUUGCAAUUUGCUAAGUAGCCGUUUCGUAUGGUUCACGUGAGCUGCACGAUUGGGGGAGCAUGUGGGCUCACAGAGUCAGUCACUGUCUGUCGGACCGACCGACCAAGUUAGUGUCAAAGAAUAAAAAUAUCUAGGUGAUGGGGUUCUUAACUAAUGAAAUAAAAUUUUGGGGUGAUGAACUUAAAAUUCGGAUUGCUUGAUAACAAAAUGAGGACCUGUCUAUGGUACAGAUUCUGUAACAAACAUCUCCCGUCAUCCCACCAUCCGAUUUUCUUUUGUUUAGUUUCUCACUCCACAUCCAACCACAUCCAACGGCUGAUGCUGCAGUCUGUAGCUUACAGAUUCUGUAAGCUAGUCAAGUCCACAAAAUGAUUUUAAACUAAUAUAGUACUGUCAAAUCAUCUAUAAAUUUGUCGUUGUUGGUGAUAAGUUUUUUCAUCGAUCAAGAGCUUCUUGUCAUAAAAAUGAUAGGAACAUAUCCAAGCCUGCUCAUCUAAAAAAGAUCGUUACACUCCACCACCGGCCAAUACUCAAUCUAUGUAAAUUAGAUUCGUGUCCUUGUCCUUUACACAAUCAACUUAUUGAUUCGAAGCUUAAAGAAAUUAGGUCAGAGUGAGAGAGAGGAAAAAGCCAAAAAUAAAUAAAUAAAUAAAUUACGUUUCACUUACGACUCAAGAUAUUCCACUAUAUUUGAACAUGUGUUUUGUCUAGAAUAUAAAUUGUACACUUAAAAAGUAUAUGAUAUUGUAUGCCAGAUUUGAAAGCUCAGCAUUAUUGCACGUUUGAAAGUAUCACAAUAUUUUAUCUUUUAUUGAGGUCAUCGACGUGUUCUUUGGUCAAACCUCAUUGUCAUGGACAAAUGAGAAUUAUUACAGAAAAUUAUUUUAAAAGGUCACAUAUUGUUUAUUUAAUAAUAAUAGGGAUCUCAAAAAUUAAAUUAUUAUUAUUAUUAAUAAAAACAAUGAUAACAAUCAUAUUAACAACAACAACAACAAUAAUAAUGAUAAUAAUAAUAAUUAUUAUUAUUAUUAAUAAAAACAAUGACAGAAUAAUAAUAAUAACAAUAACAAUGAUAAAAUAAUAAAACAAUAUAUUAAUGCAAGACAAAAGUAGAAUUAUGAAAUUUAGUUGGAGUAAAAUGGUGGGUUUAAAGAAUGAAAACUUAAUUUCCAUGGGAGAUGAGAAUUAAAUUUUCGUUCCUUAAUCCUUAAAGUGCAUGAGCUCUAUAUAUUUCAUUCUAAUUUCUUUAUUGUUUUAAUAAGUAAAUAUCAUUAAUUAUUUUUAUUCUAAAUUCAAAUUCUUCAAUCUCUCAAGUAAACACUAUUAACGGUGCGAUGCUAUAUUAAUUAAAAAGGGCUUGGGAGAGGACCAAUGAAGGGAAAGAAAAAAAAAACUUUUCUAAUAUUUUAUAAACUACUAUCGAACUUCAUUUUUUUCAAACUAUUAUAACCAUACCAAUGGGGUGACUAUUUACCUUAAAAUUAAGAGGAGAAGAUGGGGAGAAGAUGACGACCACUUCAAUUAAUUCAAUUGCAAUUAAAUAAUUAAAAAAUUGAAUAGAGAAAUUAAAAUUAAAAGAGAAGAAGAAUAACACUAACCUCCCUAGUGUUUUUCACUUUUACUACUUAAUUAAAUCUUUGAUUUUUUUCGUUACAAAAAAUCUUUAUUUUUUUAAUUAGUUAUUGCAUCUUUUACGUUAAAAUAAUAUAAAAUACACUCUUUUUUUUGCAUUGUAACCUUACUAUUAAAUUUUAAUAUGGUUUGUUUGUCAAAAGGUAAAUUAAUAUGGUGGUACACUGUAGACUCUACGCAACAUUAGUUCGUCGCCAUUUAUUAACUUAUAUUUUAAAUUUUUUUUAAAAAAAAGACAAUUUACAAACUUGGUAGCUGACAGCUGACUCCACAUUCUUUAAUUGGUAAGAAACAAGAAGUUAUAUUAUAUUCACAGCUGAUCAGCUAUCCAAAUCUUAUAUUUCUAAGUAAUGUUAAUAAAUAUUAUAAAAAUUAUGUUGAACACUUUAAUUUAAAAAAAAAAAAUUUAUUAUAUCAUCAUCUAUUACACGAAGGGUCCGACUGUAUUGCUCUACUAUAAUGUACUGCUAUAACCAUACGAUCAUAGCAAUAAUUUAUUUUUUACUAUUUAUAUAUCAUUUUGAUCGUGUGGUUAUGAGACAGUACUCUACAAUGGAGCAACACCAUAGCCAUUGUGUUAUAUGAAUUACUAUUAAUUGUAAGAUAGAUUAAAUGUAUCUUACAAUUAAGUUUUUUAGUACAAAAAUGAAAAAUGAAAUAUGAAAUAGUGGAAUCAAAAGGCCCAGUGAAUGUAUUUUACCUAGUUAUAAGUUACAUUAAAUGUAAUUUAGAGAGACCCUCAAGGCAAUAUAUUAUAAGUCAUUAUUAUAUGAUUUCUUUUAAUACUAAUAUAAUACUCAUUUUUAAUGGAUAUUUCUCAUGUUAUUAAACGCUAGAAUUUUUAUUUCCAACAUCUUAUACUUAGAUGGACAAUGAGGAAUUCAUUAUUUUGAAAAAAAUUUGACUACAAAUUAUGUGCAAUACUUUUUAUUGUAAAAUAGCCUUUUCUUUUAACUUCUUCUUCUCCUAAUCUCCUUCUUUUUUUUUUAAAGUAUUUAUAGAAUUAUUAUUUUUUUUUGAGCACAAAAUUCAAUAUUGAAGAUAAAUAAAUAAAAUUAAUAAUUAAAUUGAAUAAAAUAAUUUUUGUACAAUUUGACUUAAUUAUAUUGUUGUAAAUAUGCAUUAAAUCUCUUAAAAUUAUGUGUCUUAAACAUUUUUUGGUGUUUUAAACAAAUAAAGUUAAUUAAUUUUUAAAAAAUUUAAAAAUUUUGAAUUUUUUAAAUUAAUAUUUAAAAUACACAUAAUAAUAAAAUUUUCAAAAUAAUUUUUAAAACGAAAUGACACCAAGAGAAAAAUACACUCGUUUUCGCACUUUCCCCUCCUUGUUCUGUUGUUCAUUUAUAUUAUUUUAAUCAUAUAUUCCGUUCAUUCACAAUAAAUUGACUUUUAAAUUAUAUUAGAUCAAAUCUGUUUACUAAAGAUGGAAAAACAUUCCAAGAACCUUACAUAACAUCACAAGUCACAAAAGCGCCACAAAACAAACAGAGGGAGAGAGAAAUUCUUACUUUGGUUCUAGAUGGCGACGGUCGGAGCUUGCAUCUUUUCGGCCGUUUCCUCGCCGGUUUUUCGUCGACAAAUUACGUCGUCGUCCGAGAAGCCGAAACGGAAUCCUAUAUUGAAGCGAGUAGCGGUGUCAACGGAGCGGACAUCAGCUGCAACGACGACAGUGAUGACGGAAACGACGCCGACGAGGAUAUUUGUGGAGAAGAAGAGUAGCGAGUUAGUAGAAGAUGAAGCUGAGACGAAACAGAGAGUUAACGUGAGAGAAUAUUCGGAGGAGGAGAGUGAAGGUAACGGAAAGAGCUUGAAAGAUUACUUUGAUGAAGCCGAAGAUAUGAUCAAAUCGUCAUCAGGCGGCGGUCCGCCCCGCUGGUUCUCGCCUUUAGAAUGCGGGUCCCACACUCGCGAUUCUCCUCUCCUCCUCUUUUUGCCUGGUGCGUUUCUCUUUUUAGCCAAUCGGUUAUUAUUGUUUAUGUCGUCACCUUUUACAUUUUUUAAUGCUCAUGCUUUAUCCAAAAAUCAUUUGCUAAUUAUUAACAUACUUUUUAUAAUAUUUUACGGGAUCAGGCUACGGUGCAACUGUGGUACCGUGUCACAGUUGCAUCCAGCC